UUUCCGUAGGUGAACCUGCGGAAGGAUCAUUAUUGUGUAACCGAGGUGCGAGGGCUGUCGCUGACCCGAAAGGUCGUGCACGCCCGAGUGCCCUCACACACAUCCAUCUCACCCCUAUAUGCACCACCGCGUGGGUCCCCCUUUGGCUUGUUCGGAGGGGGGCUUACGUUUUCACACAAACUUUGUAUGCAGUGUAGAAUGUAUUUUUUGUUUUUGCGAUCACGCAAUCAAUACAACUUUCAACAACGGAUCUCUUGGCUCUC
rnacentral:misc_RNA from 1 species